UACGUAGGGCGCAAGCGUUGUCCGGAAUUAUUGGGCGUAAAGAGCUCGUAGGUGGCGUGUCGCGUCUGCCGUGAAAGCCCAUGGCUUAACUGUGGGUCUGCGGUGGAUACGGGCAGGCUGGAGGCUGGUAGGGGCAAGCGGAAUUCCUGGUGUAGCGGUGAAAUGCGCAGAUAUCAGGAGGAACACCGGUGGCGAAGGCGGGACUCUGGGCCGAUACUGACGCUGAGGAGCGAAAGCGUGGGGAGCAAACAGG
rnacentral:rRNA from 1 species